rnacentral:rRNA from 1 species
UUGCACGCUGGCGGCAGGCCUCACCCCUGCCAGUCGAGCGGAUGAAGGGAGCUUGCUCCUGGCUUCAGCGGCGGACGGGUGAGUAAUGCCUAGGAAUCUGCCUGGUAGUGGGGGAUAACGUCCGGAAACGGGCGCUAAUACCGCAUACGUCCUGAGGGAGAAAGUGGGGGAUCUUCGGACCUCACGCUAUCAGAUGAGCCUAGGUCGGAUUAGCUAGUUGGUGGGGUAAAGGCCUACCAAGGCGACGAUCCGUAACUGGUCUGAGAGGAUGAUCAGUCACACUGGAACUGAGACACGGUCCAGACUCCUACGGGAGGCAGCAGUGGGGAAUAUUGGACAAUGGGCGAAAGCCUGAUCCAGCCAUGCCGCGUGUGUGAAGAAGGUCUUCGGAUUGUAAAGCACUUUAAGUUGGGAGGAAGGGCAGUAAGUUAAUACCUUGCUGUUUUGACGUUACCAACAGAAUAAGCACCGGCUAACUUCGUG